GAGCUCUCCUGGUCUGCAGUGAGCUGCAACCAGCAUCUCCCUCUGAGUGGGACACCUCUCAGAGCUUGUGAACUCUCCAGUUUGCAAAGUUUGGAGGAUGGUCGCUGAAAGCUGAGGAGGGGACCUGGGCUGAAACCCUUCACUCCUUGAGGCUCAACCAUUGCCCGCUGAGAAAUGCCGAGACAUUUGAAGUGAAUAUUUCACUGAACUCAAGGGGAAUUUUUAACAGGUUUGAAAAACUGUUCUGUUUUAUGGACCAUCUUCAACCACAGAAUUCAGGGCACAGUGCUUUGAAUACCUUCAAAUUUUUCCCAUCCUCUUGAAGAGGGGGACUGAGAGAGCAGCUGGUUGGGCAUCUAGCAACUGGUGAAGGUCAACUCACGACACAGAGAGAAGAAUGGAUCAAAAAAUCAACGUAGUGGGGCUUAAGCAAGGUCAACUCCAGCAUUUACAUGUAAGUAAGGAAGUACCUACAAGGCACCAUUAUGGAGAAAACCUAAAACCCUUUCUAGGAAGUCAAAUUGCUGGGGUGCUUCCCUAAAGUCCCUAUAUACUAAUGUACAGAGGGAAAUGCUGCCACCCAGAGGGACCUCAACAGGCCGGAGAAAUAGACUGACAGGAACCUCAUGAAGUUUAAUAAAGGGAAGCCCAAAGUCCUCCACCUGGGGAAGAACAACCCCUGGGUUCAGUAUAUGCUGGGUGCUGACCAGCUGGAAAGCAGCUUGGCAGAAAAGGCCCUAGGGGUCCUGGUACACAUGAAGUUGAAAAUGAGCUAGCAAUAUGCCCUCACGGCGAAGGUGGCUAACAGUAUCUUGGGCUGCAUUUGACAAUGUAUUGCCAGCAGGUCGAGGGAGGUGAUCCUUCUGCUCUGCUCAGCACUGGUGAGGCCACACCUGGAGAUCUAUGUCCUGUUCUGGGCUCCCCAGUACACAAGAGACAUGGACAUAGUAGAGAAAGUCCAACAAAGGUCCAUGAAGACGUUGAAGGGACUGCAACAUCUCUCCUGUGAGGGAACGCUGAGAGACCUGGGACUGUUCAGCCUUGAGAAGAGAAGACCCAAGGGAGAUCUUAUAUCAAUAUGUAUUAAUGGAUAGUUACAAUAGAAGUUUAUAGGUAUUUAUUAUAUCUCUCUCACACCCUGUUUUCUAAAUUAAAGUUAAUUUUGUUUAUCCACAAUAUAAA